UAAGGUUUAAGGUAGAUUGGGAAGUUAUCAAGUUUAUCACUUGCACUCAAGAAUGAUUAUCCAGGCCGGGCGCGGUGGCUCAUGCCUGUAAUCCCAGCACUUUGGGAGGCCGAGGCAGGCGGAUCAUGAGGUCAGGAGAUCGAGACCAUUCUGGCUAACACAAUGAAACCCCAUCUCUACUAAAAAUACGAAACAUUAGACAAGGACAUUUACCUAUGGUCAUAUUAUUACUCCAGCAUGGUGCAGACCCCACUCUCAUUGAUGGAGAGGGAUUCAGCAGCAUCCACUUGGCAGUAUUGUUUCAACACAUGCCUAUUAUAGCAUAUCUCAUCUCAAAGGGACAGAGUGUGAAUAUGACAGAUGUAAAUGGGCAGACACCUCUCAUGUUAUCAGCUCACAAAGUAAUUGGGCCAGAACCAACUGGAUUUCUUUUAAAGUUUAAUCCUUCUCUCAAUGUGGUUGAUAAAAUACACCAAAACACUCCACUUCACUGGGCAGUUGCAGCAGGAAAUGUUAAUGCAGUUGAUAAGCUUUUGGAAGCUGGUUCUAGCCUGGAUAUCCAGAAUGUUAAGGGAGAAACACCUCUUGAUAUGGCUCUACAAAACAAAAAUCAGCUCAUUAUUCAUAUGCUAAAAACAGAAGCCAAAAUGAGAGCCAACCAAAAGUUCAGACUUUGGAGGUGGCUGCAGAAAUGCGAGCUCUUCCUGCUGCUGAUGCUUUCUGUGAUUACCAUGUGGGCUGUUGGAUACAUAUUGGACUUCAAUUCAGAUUCUUGGCUUUUAAAAGGAUGUCUUCUAGUAACAUUGUUUUUUCUGACAUCUUUGUUUCCAAGGU
rnacentral:sRNA from 1 species